rnacentral:rRNA from 1 species
AAAGUAGGGAGUGCCCCUUCGGGGAGCCUCAAGACAGGUGCUGCAUGGCUGUCGUCAGCUCGUGUCGUGAGAUGCUGGGUUAAGUCCCGCAACGAGCGCAACCCCUAUUGUUAGUUGCCAUCAUUCAGUUGGGCACUCUAGCGAGACUGCCGGUAAUAACCGGAGGAAGUGGGAUGACGUCAAAUCAUCAUGCCCCUUAUGACCUGGGCUACACACGUGCUACAAUGGUUGGUACAACGAGUUGCGAGUCGGUGACGGCGAGCUAAUCUCUUAAAGCCAAUCUCAGUUCGGAUUGUAGGCUGCAACUCGCCUACAUGAAGUCGGAAUCGCUAGUAAUCGCGGAUCAGCACGCCGCGGUGAAUACGUUCCCGGGCCUU